rnacentral:lncRNA from 1 species
GGCAUACCCAGUAGAGGUGAACUUGGCUGCCACACACAGUGACUCAGCAAUUUACCAGGAGAGAAUGUGGAGAGAUGAGAAGGAUUUUUCAUCCUAGGUUUGGGUAAGUAACAUUUCUCAUUGUGCAUACAUAAAGAGAUAUCUACAGUUAAUUUUGUUCUUUAUUCCUUUUUAAUGUUUAUUCACUUUUGAGAGAUGGAGAAAGACAGAGCAUGAGUAAGGGAGGGGCAGAGAGAGGGGGAGACACAGAAUCCGAAGCAGACUCCUGGUUCUGAGCUGGCACCACAGAGUCCAAUGUGGGGCUUGAACCCAUGAACCAUGAAAUCAUGAUCUGAGCUGAAGUCGGAUGCUUAACCAAAUGAGCCACCCUCAGGCCCCAAUUUUGUUUUUUAUUCUAAAGUUACUAAUGUGUGUAACUGGCUGGUUUCAGACCAAAAAUUCCUUUUGCCUUGAGAAUACAGAACAUGGAAACUGAUUUUAUAAGCUCAUAUCAGAAGUAAAAUUUAAAUUAAAUGGUGAUUAUGACAAUGUAUUUGUAUUACAUGGCUAAAGACAUGAGAAUUUUUUUGGUUGUUAGACAUGUAUUUUAUUUAAAUCUAAUAUACAUCUUGGAGAAAGACUAAUAAUUUUGUUCAUCCAAUUUUACAGAAGGGGAAGAAGAGGCAACAGAAUAUUAAAGGAAAAUUCCUUAAGCCAUGUAGCAGAGUGAAGUCUAUGAGCAACAUUGGUCUCUGAAAUCAGACUGCCUCUCCAAACAAUUCCCAUUUUAUUAAAAUAUCAACUCUUCCUCAGAUUGGCCGAUUAAAAAAGCAAAUGUUAUAUUAAUUCUAUUGGUCUAUCAAAUGAGUCAAUGCAGCUGUGAAAUGACUCCGUGAAAAAAUGACAGCCAGUGGCCUUUCAAAAAUAACUUUUUCUGAGAAAACUUGGGGCUUCCAGAAGGUGACUGUAAUCGCUCAGGGACAUGACUUACUUAGGGGGAAAAAAAAGUUCAACUCUCAAAGAGGAAAAUGGAAAUCAGUAGUGCUGAGAGAAAAAAGAAAGACUUUCAAAACCUGAUUCUAAAUUCCUUUCUGAGAUUCACAUGAGCACUUUAGCUCUAGAACAAUGUUUCCAGAAACACAAUCUAUCAAUAAUGACAUUUAUAGGUCAAUUACUAUUACCUGGGGAAUUUGGUCUACUCUUAUUUUACAGUAUAUCUGCCAAAAGAAAAUCAUAUAUGGCAUGUUUUGACUUGGCUCUAAGCUUUCUAAAAGACUUUCUUUCUUUUUCAGCUGAAACUCUGAAACUUACCUGCUACCCUUUUGGCCCAGAGCCAGUUCAUCACUAAAUCUACACUGUGCUGUGCUUCUCUGUAUUCCAGCCAGCCUCCUAUUUCAGACUUUGGCACAAAUAACAAAGUGCUGAUAGUGAAGCCACAAAAUGUUAAUAUGAGGUCAUUGGGGAGGAGGAGUGUGGAACUUCUUGGUAAAGCCUGGAAAAGGCCAAAUAAGCAGAGAACAUUCAAUUGCUGAAGAACCAAAAGGCAGAUUCCUUGUAGCCACUAUGGUAACAAACCAUUCCCUUCACGGUUGGUAAGACAACUUCCUGGUCAAUAGAUUUCUAAGGCCUACUUUCUGUCUCCUAGGAGAUAGGUCACUGAGGACUCGCUUCAUUAUUCAUUAAUUUAUUACUUUACCCAUCCCUUGCUACUUUAACCAUCCGUUUAAGAAUAAUUUUAUUUUUAAUAUAUACAACAGUGCUUGUAACAAUUUAAUGGACAAAUUACUUGGGAAUCUUGUUAAAAUGCCAUCUCUGAUUCAGUAGUCUGGGGUGGGCUUAAAAUUCUACAUUUCUCCUAAGCUCACAGGUGAUACCUAUGAUGCUUCUCUAAGGACAGGAGAGAUAUAAACCUAUUUCAUUUCCCUUUCUCCUACACCAGUGUUUUUGACACUUGUUCAAAAAAAGCAAAUUGUUGGGCCCAACCCAGCCCUACUAAAUCUUGAGGUUGGAUUGAGCAAUCCUUGUAUUAUCAAGCCCCCGUAGGUGAUUCUAAUGUGUGCUUAAUGACCUAUAGUUCCUAAAACCUGGCUGCAUAUUAGAAUAACUUAGGGAGCUUACAGGUUGAAUUUGUACCAUAAAAAGAAACGUAGAAGUCCUAACUCCAGAUGCCUGUGAAUGUGACCUUUAUUUGAAAACAGUCUCCCCAGGGAAGAAGACUAUGCAGGAAAAGGGCAGAAAGUAGAGUGAUGCAGCUAUAAACCAAGGAAUGCCAAGGACUGCCAUCAACUAGCAGAAGCUAGGAGAAAAACACGCAACAGAUUCUUUUCUAGAGGCUUCAGAGGAAGCCUGGCCUUGCCAACACCUUGAUUUAGGACUUCUGAUCUCCAGAACUAUGAGAGAAUGAAUGUCUGUCUUAAAUCACUUAAUGUGUGGUACUCUGUUACAACAGCCCCAGGAAAUUAAUACAGAGCUUUGAAAAACAAAAGAAUGCAUACCCCCUUACAAUUAAAUCAGGAUUUUUGGGAAAGUGUCUCUUGCAUGAGGAUUUUAAAAUCUCCCCCAAGGGAUCCAAUAAGGGAUCAGUUUUGAAGUCCACAGCUCUAGACAUUUUUUAGACUUAAAUAGAUUGAGUCAAAAACACUAUAAGCAAUUGUAUAUCAGUGUAAGAUCAUGUGUAAGUUUUUUUUUUUUAAUUUACAAUGUUUAUUUUUAUUUUUGAGAGAGAACACAUGAACAGAGGAGGAGCCGGGGGGUGGGGGUGGGGGGAAGAAGAUCUGAAGUGGGCUCUGUGCUGACAGCAGUGAGCCCAAUGUGGGGCAUAAACUCAUGAACUAUGAUAUCAUGACCUUAGCUGAAUUCAGUCAGAAGCUCAACUAAGUGAGCCACCCAGAUGCCCCCAUGUAUAAGUUUUUUUAAGUAUAAAAAUCAGUUAUAUAGAUAAAUAUACUAACACAACAUUUAUCAGUUUGGUUAGGGAAAUACUGUUAUUAGAAUCACCUUAUCAAUCACCCAUUAAUAAGUGGUUCUUGGGCCCAUCUCAAACCUAAUGACUGGAAUCUCCUGCAGUAGUGUUUGAGUAGUUAUCAAGCUCCCUUGAGGUAACCCCUCUGCACACUGACCUUUGAGAGCCAUCCAUAAAGAGGUGACUGGGCAAGCCUGAACUACUAGGGAGAGCUUUCCUGAAGAUGAAGAUGAAGCCUGGAUGAAUGUAGGAAGAGAGCACGAGUGAGCAUGUUAUCAGUUGGAACUACUGAGAAACUUAGCUGCUGGAUCAAAGAAGCAUUCUAGAAGCCAAUGAACAUCAGCUAGGGCUGGUGAAAGCAUGGAGAAUUUUAAAAGGCAGGUGACAAAGGAACACAAUUGGCAUUUCCCAGGAGCUGAGAAUUAAAAUGCAGAACCUUGGGCUUACCUCAGCCCUAUUGAGUUAGAGACUGCAUUUUAACAAUAUCUCCAAGUAAUAUAAAUUUACAUUAAAUUUUGGGAAGCAUUGUUCUGGUGCAGUAAGAAAACCUGUCAGAAGUUUCUAAGCAAGGACAUGAUAUCAUAAAAUUAUUCAUGAAUGAGCUUAGCUUAGUGGGGAUGUCCAGGGCAAAUAGAAAUGCUUACAGAACUUUCCUGUAAACAUUUCUUCAAUGAUGGAAAUGUUCUAUAUCUGUGCCAUUCAAUACAGUAGCCACUUGUGUCUGUUGAGCACAUCAAUGUGAUUAGUGUGACAGAGGAACUUAAUUUUUAAAAUUUUUAUAAUUUAAUUAAUUUAAAUUUACAUUUAAAUAGCCACAUGUAGCUAGUGGCUCCUGUAUUAGCACAGGCUUGAGGCUACAAAUGUGAACACUAGUUAGGAGGCAUUGGUGGCCAGAGGGUUCUCUGGGGCACCUGUGGGUAUGACAAUGUCAUAUGGAACCAAGUGUUAGUUCUGAUGCAAUUUUUAUAUCUGCUUAGAAAAUAUAGGCAAUCCAAUUUUCUAUUGAAGAAAUGAAUUAAUGACUGUUUAAUUAUGCCAAAAUUAUUUUUCAAUUAUAGAGGAUAUAAUUAUCCUAUCUAGGGCUUAUCUAGUGCUUAUGUCCAUUGCUUGCUUCUUUCCUUUCCAUUUUACUAUUUACAUUUCUUAGUUUGUCAAUAUUGCCACAGGGUCAAUAGAGACAAGAAAACUCAUGUUGCAAGAGAUCUGAAUGCUCAAGGAGAGACACCAUUAGUUGCCUGAAAUUUUGGGGUUUGUUUAAUCAGUUCCAAAUGUCUGUUGCUCCCAAAACUCAUUGUCUUUUUCCUUCAUAACAGGAGACGUGUGAGUGAAAUGUCCUUAAUUCUUGUUGGUCGGGUUUGUGUAGUGUACCAGUACUGGACUGAGAAGGUAUUUGCUUAUAAAAGGGGAUUAGACUCUCAAGGUUUUAGUAGAUUUGUGUAUAAAUAAUUAUUGAACAUAUAGACACAGUCUCCACUUGCAGAGUUCAAACUCUGUUAGGAGGCAAAAUGCAAAGAGAUAACUUCAGCAAAAUAUUGCUUUUACAAACAGAAAUAAUGAUUUUGGCAUAAAAGAAUUCAAACAGGACAGGGAAGACUUCAAUGGAAGGAAAACUUUUGAGCAGAAAGUUGAAAGAUAAAUAAACAUUCCCCAGGUAAGAUGGGAGUGGACUGAGGGAAACAUGAGCAUCCUAGGGGGCAUGGAAAAGGAUGGUGGAUUUAGGGAAAUUCUGUAUGUCUGGAACAAACAGUAUAAGAAAUUAUCUUGGUUGAUGAAUAUUUAAGUCAGGAGCUAGAUUGUGAAAUAAAUAUUCACUGAGGAAUUCGGACUUUAUCUCACUGGUGAUGAAGGGCCAUGGAAGGUUUUCAAUGGGGAUUAAUAACCAGGUCUUUGUGUUUAAUAUUUUAACACGGAUAAUUUAUUGGAGUGCACAAAACUAGACUCAAGAAGACAAGUUACAAUGGUAUUGCAACAAUCCAGGUAAGAGAUGAUGAGACCCUAAAGUGAGAACAGAACAAUUGGAUGGGGAGAGGAAUUCUUGAGAUGAGUAAGAAGCUAAGAAAAUAGUCUAAAUAUCAAGUAAGAUGAAGUUUUUAGCAAUUUUUUUAAAAAGCCAUCCUCUAAUGAAUUGCUGCACUGGCAACAUAGAGCUGGUGAUUGGAUGGGGGUGGAAUGUGCUUGGACUUGGAAAUCAGAGAAGUCUACACCUGAGACCCAAAUCCAUUACUUCUCAGAUGGGUGACUCAUGGUCAGAUACUCAAUCUGCCUGAACCUCAGUGAACUCAAUGUAAUUCCUGAGCUGUAAGACUGUUGGAAUGUUUAAAUAACAUAUGAAGAAUACCUGGCACAUGUGGAUAGCCAAUUAACAAUAGCUUUCUUUCCACCCUUUUUUUCAACUCUAAAAUCCGUAACAAUGAGGCUUUAAUAUAUAUAAAAAAAAGACAACUUUAGUUUUAGGAGUUUGUGUGGUCCAAGACUGUGACAUAGAACCAGACCAGCCCUCUUCAUGGCACACACUAAAUUACACCUAUUAAUAGAUCAAAUCCUCCUGAAAAACUGAGGGCUGACUGAACAGUUUCAGAACAACCAUUCAUAGAAGAGCAAGAGAGACAGAGACAUAUAACAAAGGGAAGCCCCACCCUCAACUGUGAACUGCAGUGGGGAAGGAUAGCACUGAGGGACCCAGAACAGAUCCCUCUGUUCUUGGGCACAGAAAUUAAGCUGUGGUUUAAAAGAGCAACUAGCCUAUCAAUAAGACAACACUACGAGUCCACCAAAUGUAUAUGAAGCUGCAGGAACACUAUCCAAGUCAGAAGGACUGGAGAAUGACAUGGUUUAUGUUUCCACUCAAUGUUAAAAGCCUAGGCCAGAGGAGUCUGGACACCAUAAUGGGUUGGUCUGGUUCAUCACAGCUAGUUUGUGACUUCAGUGAGCCCAGGGUCUGAAAGCCCAUGGCAGCUUCUGUGGUACUAGGGCACAGAGAAUAAGCCACUUUAAUUUUUUUAAUUAAAAAACUUUUGAAUUUCAUUUAAUUUUUAAAAUUUGUCUUAUUUGGGGGUUUUAUUCUUUUGUUUUUCUUUUUUUCCCUUUUUCCUUUUUUCUUUAUUUUAUUUUAACAUUACUAUUUACUCUUUUCUUCUUUCUGUAAAAGCCACAGUUUAAAAGAGAGUAACUAACAUAUACAGCCACACUCCCGCUAGUCAACCAGCAGAAGAACCAAGCACACCUAGCCUGCAUAGGGGACAUCAUACACAAGACUACUCCUUCAAAUUUAGGAGAAGUAGUCAUUCUACCUAAUACAUAGAAACAAACACAGAAAGCAAGCAAAACGUGGAGACAGAGGAAUAUGCUCCAAAAGAACAAGAAAAAAAUACCCAUAAAAGAACUAAAUUAAAUAGAAGCAAUAUGCUUGAUCAAAAAUUUAAAGUAAUGAUCAUAAAAAUACUCAUUGGGAUGAAAAGUGGAAGAACUCAUGGAGACCUUCAAUAAAGAUAUAGAAAGCAUUAAAAGAAGCAAUCAGAGUUGAAUACAAUAACUGGAAUUUAAAAAGAAAAAAAAAACUAGACAGAGGUGCCUGGGUGGCUCAGCCGGUUAAGCCUCCAAUUCUUGAUUUUGGCUGAGGUCAUGGUCUCAUGGUUGUGAGACUGAGCCCCAAGUCAGCCUCUGCACUGAGCAUGGAGCCUGCUUGGGAAACUCUCCCUCCCUCUCCCCCUGCCCCUCCCCUGCUCAUGCCCUCUCACUCUCUCUCUCAAAAUAAAUAAAUAACAUUAACAAAACACACUAGAGAGAAUCAGCAAUAGAUUAGAUUAUGCAGAAGAAUGUAUUAGUGAUCUAGAAGACAGGGUAAUUGAAAGCACACAAAAUGAACAACAAAAAGAAAUUUUUUUUAAAUAUGUGGACAGAUUAAGAGAUCUCUUAGACAACACCAAGCUAACAUUAGCAUUAUGCGUGUCCCAGAAGAAACAGAGAAAGGAAUAGAAAACUUAUUUGAAUAACCACUGAAAACUUCCCUUAACUAAGAAGGAUAUGGACAUCCAAGUCCAAGAAUCAUAGUGUCCCAAACAAGAUGAACUCAAGGAGGUCCACAUCAUCACACUUAACUAAAAUAUCAAAGGUUAAAGAUAAAAAGAGAAUCUUAAAAUAAGCAAGAGAAACAAAAAUUUACUUACAAAAUAAAACUUACAAGGUUAUCAGUUGAUUUUUUAGCAGAAUCUUUUCAGACCAGAAGGGAGUGGCAAUAUAUACUCAAAGCGCUGAAAGGAAAAUAUAUACAACCAGUAAUGCUCUAUCUGGCAAUGUUACCAUUCAGAUUUGAAGGAGACAUAAAGCAUUUCCCAGACAAACAAAAGAUAAAAGAGUUUAUCGCUACUAAACCAGCAUAUGAGAAAUAAUAAAGAGACUUCUGAAAAUGGAAAAGAAAUGACCAUGAUUAGACAUAUGAAAAUUAUAAAUAAAAAUAUGUAAAUUAUGAGAAUAUACACAUAAAACAUGGAGAAUAAAGUAAAAAUGGAAGAAAGGGGUGGAAAAGGAAAGUUUUUCUUUUCUUUUUUUUUUCAGAAUAAAUUUGAACUUAAAAGACCAUUAAAUUAAUAUAGACUGCUAUUUACUUAGGAUGUUAUAUAUGAAGUGGAUGGUCACCACAAACCCAAAAUGUCCACAAAAUUUUUGAUGGAUUCACAAAAAAAAAUAAAGAGAAAGAAAGCCAAACAUAACACUAGAGAAACUCUACAAUCACAAGGAGAUUAAGAGAAGAGAGAAACAAAUAAAAAUUACAAAAACAGGGAGAAAGCAAAUUUAAAAUGGCAGGAAGUACACACCUAUGAUUGAUCAUCUUUAUUGAUGAUUUUGAAUGUAAAUAGACUCUAUAAUCCAUAAAGAGACAUAUAGAUAGAUUAAAUCUAUGUGAUAGAUUAAAAUCUAUCUGUGUGAUAGAUUUUAGGAAUCUAUCUGUGUGAUAGAUUAAAAAAAAAAAAAGACCCAUCUAAGACUCACCGAAAGACAUGUACAUACUGAAAGUGAAGGGAUGAACAGAUAUUCACCAUGCAAAUGGAAGUGGGGAAAAAAAGCUAAGAUAGCAAUACUUAUAUCAGACAAAAUACACUUUAAAACAAAGACUGUAAUAAGAGAUAAAGUAGGAUACUACAUAAUGAGAAAGAAAUUAAUCCAACAGUAGGAUAUAACAAUUAUAAACAUCUAUACACCCAACACUGGAAUGAGUAAAUACAUAAAGUAAAUAUUAAUGGAGAUAAAGAAAAAAAAGUGAUGGCAACACUGUAAUAGUAAGGGACUUUAACACUCCACUUAUAUUAAUGGAUGUAUCAUCCAUUCAGAAUCAAUAAGGAAAUGUCUUUGAGUGACACAGUAGACCAGAUGGACAUAACAAAUAUAUACAGAACAUUUCAUCUAUAAACAAUAAAAUACAUACUUUUCAAGUGCACAUAGAACAUUCUCCAGAGUAGAUUACAUAUUAGCCAUAAAACAAGCCCCAGUAAAUUUAAGAAGAUUGAAAUAAUACCAUGAAUCUUUUCCAAUUACAACAGUAUGAAACUAGAAAUCACAAGAUAAACCUGAAAACACACAGAUAUGUGGAUAAACAACAUAACACUAAACAACCAGUGAGUCAAUGAAGCAAUCAAAAAAAAUUGUUUAAAUACAUGGAGACAAAUGAAAAUGAAAACACAAUGGUCCAAAAUCUUUGGGACAUAGCAAAAGCAAUUCUAAAGGGGAAAUGUGUGAUAAUAUAGUCCUAUCUCAAGAAAUAAGGAAAAGCUCAAGUGAAUAAUCUAACUUUACACCUAAAGUAACUAGAAAAAGAAAAGCAGAGCCAAGGUGAGUACAAGAAAGGAAAUAAUGAAUAUCAGAGCAGCAAUAAAUGACAUAAAAAUGACUAAAAAUAAAAAUAAUAAUAAAAAAAUCAGUGAAACCAAGAGCUGGUUCUUUUAAACAAAAUUGUCAAACCCUUAGCCAGAGUCAUCAAGAAAAAAAGAAUCCAAAUAAAUAAAAUCAGAAAUGACAGAGAAGUAACAACUGAUACUACAGAAAUACAAAGGAUUAUAAUACUAUAAAAAUUAUACACCAACAAACUGGAAAUCCUAGAAGAAAUGGCUAAAUUCCCAGAAACAUACUCUUCCAAAAGUGAACCAUAAAGAAAUAGAAAAUCUGAACAGACUGAUUACAAGCAACAAAAUUGAAUUGGUAGAAAAAAAAAAAAAAACUACCAAGAAAUAAAAAUCCAGAACCAAAUGGAGUCACAGGUGAAUUCUACCAGACAUUUAAGAAAGAUUUACUACCUAUUCUACUCAAACUAUUCCAAAAAAUAGAAGAGGAAGGAAAGAAAACUUCCAAAUACAUUCUACAAGACUAGAAUUACCCUGUUGCCAAAUCCAGAAAAAGAUACCACCAAAAGAAGAAGAAGAAGAAGAAGAAGAAGAAGAAGAAGAAGAAGAAGAAGAAGAAGAAAAAGAAAGAAAGAAAGAAAGAAAGAAAGAAAGAAAGAAAGAAAGAAAGAAAGAAAGAGAGAAAGAAUCUACAGCUAUAUCCCUGAUGAACAUAAAUGCAAGAAUCCUCAACAAAAUAUUAGAAAAUUGCAUACAAUACAUUAAAAAGACCAUUCACCACUAUCAGGUGGGAUUUAUUCUGGGGAUGCAAGAGUGAUUUAAUAGUAAUCAAUCAACAUCAUCUCCCACAACAACAAAAUGAAAAAUAAAAACCAUACAAUCAUCUCAACAGAUGCAAAAAAUAAAAAAAAACAUUUGAGGGGUACCUGAAUGGCUCAGUCGAUUAAGCAUCCAACUUCCACUCAGGUCAUGAUCUCAUAGUUUGUGAGUUCAAGCCUGGCACCUGGCUCUGCGCUGACAGCUCAGAGCUUUGGAUUCUGUGCUCCUUCUUUCUCUGCCCCUCCCCCACUCACGCUCUGUCUGUCUCUGUCUCUCUCUCUUCUUCCAAAAUAAACAUUAAAGUUUUUUUUUAAUUAAAAGAAGAAGCAUUUGACAAGAUUCAACAACUAUUCAUGAUAAAAAUUCUCAACAAAGUGGGUUAAGGGGAACAUAUCCUAGCAUAAUGAAGGUCAUUUACAGAAAAACCCACAGCUAACAUCACACUCAAUGGUGAAAAGCUGAAAGCUUUCCCUCUAAGAUCAGGAAAAGACAUGGAUGUCCACUCUCACCACUUUUACUCAACAUAGUACUCAAAGUCCUAGCCACACCAAUUAGACAAACAAGAGACAUCCAUAUUGGUAAAGAAGUUAAACUGUCACUAUCUGCAGACAUGAUGCUAAAACUAGACCAUCCUAAAAGACAUUACCAAAAAGCUACUAGAAAUAAUAAAUAAAUUCAGUAAAGUGGCAGGAUACAAAAUUAAUAGCUAGAAAUUGGUAAGGUGUUUUUACACUAAUAACUAAAGGGAAUUUUUAAAAAGACACCAUUUACAAUUGCACCAAAAAGAAUAAAAUACCUAGGUAUAAACUUAACCAAAGAGGUGAAAGCUCUGUACUCCAAAAACUAUAAAACACUGAUGAAAGAAACUGAAGAUGACACAUCAAGAUAUGUCAUGCUCAUGGGUUGUAAGAGUUAAUAGUGUUAAAAUGUCCGUAUUUCCCCAAACAAUCUACUGAUUUAAUGUAAUCCCUAUCAAAAUACUAACAGCAUUUUUCACAAAACCAGAACAAAUAAUACUGAAAUUUGUGUAGAGUCACAUCAGACCCUGAAUAACAAAAUGAAUCCUGAGAAAGAACAAAGCUGGAGGUACUACAUAUCAGAUUUCAGGAUAUACUACAAAGAUAUAGCAAUAAAAACACUAUGGUACCGGCACAAAAAUAGACACAUAAGAUCACUAGAACAGAGUAGAGUUCCCAGAAAUAAACCCACCAUUUUAUGGUCAACUAACCUAUAACAAAGGAGGCCAGAAUAUACAGUGGGGAAAAGACAAUCUUUCCAAUAAAUGGCGCUGUAAAAAGUGAGAUAGCUAUUUACAAAAGAAUGAAAUGGGCAACUUCCUCACAUCAUACACAAAAAUUUCUCAAAAUGGAUUAAAGGCUUAAAUGUUGGACUCAAAACCAUAAAAACCCUAGAAGAGAAUAGAGGCAGUAUUUCUUUGACAUCAGUUGUAGAAGCAUUUUUCUAGAUAUGUUUCCUAAGGCAAGGGAAAAAAAAAACAAAAAUAAACUUUUGAAGCUACAUCAAACAGCUUUUGUACAGCAAAGGAAAUCAUCACCAAAACAAAAAGACAACCUACUGAAUGGUAGAAGAUAUUUGCAAAUGAUAGAUCUGCUAAGGUGUUAGUAUCCAAAAUAUAAAGAACUUAUACAACUCAACAUCCAAGAAAAACAAACAAUCUGAUUUAAAAAUGGACAGAGGACCUUAAUAGACAUUUUUCCAAAGAAGACAUCCAGAGGCCAACAAACACAUGAAAAGAUAUUCAACAUAAGUCACCAUCAGGGAAAUGCAAAUCAAAACUACAAUGAGAGGCUCCUGGGUGGCUCAGGUUGUUGGGUGGCCAACUUCGGCUCAGGUCAUUAUGUUAUUGUCCAUGAGUUCAAGCCCCAUGUCAGGCUCUGUGCUGACAGCUCAGAGCCUGGAGCCUGUUUCAGAUUCUGUGUACCCCCUCUCUCUCUCUGCCCCUCCCCCACUCACGCUCUGUCUCACUCUGUCUCUCAAAAAUAAAUGUUAAAAAAAAUUAAAAAAAACUACAAUGAGAUAUCUCCUCAUACCUGUCAGAGUGGCUAAAAUAAAAAGAAACAAAAGGUGGUGUGGAUGUGGAGAAAAAGGAAUGUUCAUGCACUGCUGGUGUGUAUCUAACCACUGUGGAAAACUGUAUUGGCAUUUCUCAAAAAAUUAAAAAUAGAAUUGCCAUGUCACCCAAUAAUUCCACUAUUGGGUAUUUGCCCAAAACAAAUGAAAACACUAAUUCCAAAAGAUACAUGUAUUCUCAUAUUUACUGCAGCAUUAUCUACAGUGGACAAGAUAUGGAGGCAAACUAAGUGUCCAUGAAUAGAUGAAUGCAUAAGGAAGAUGUGGCAUAUACAUACAGUGGAAUAUUGCAUAUACCAUAUAAAAGGAUGAGAUGGGCCAUUUGCAACAACAUGGAUGGAUCUAGACGGUAUUAUGACAAAUUAAGUCAGACCGAGGAAGACAAAUACCAUAUGAUUCCAUUCAUAAGUAAAAUCAGACAAAAAACAAACGAAUAAAAAACAACAAAAACAAAAACCAGAAUCAGACCUAUAAAUACAGAGAACUGAUGGUUGCCAGAAGGGAGAGUUUCGCCAUGACAGGAUUUCAGUUAUGGCAUGAGUAAAUCACAAGAAUACAAGGCACAGCACAAGGAAUACAGUCAAUGAUAUUGUAAUAGUGAUGUAAUGAGACAGAAGAUAGCUAGACUUGUGGUGAACAUAGCACAAUAUAAACUUGUCAAAUCACAAAGUUGUACACCUGACAUGAAUGUAACACUGUGUGUCAACUAUACUUAAAAAAAUAAAGAAGACAACUUCUCUUUUUAAACUGGCAGUCUGAAAGCCUAAAAUAUGUUUCUGUUUUUUUUUUAAUAAGCAAUUUAUUAUUUGUUUUCCUGGUAUGAUCAGGCCCAGUGCACCACUAUUUGAGAUCUCCAAGUGACAGCUAUGUUAAAUGUAACAAAAUUGUAAUGUUCAUAAAGCUGACAUAUUCCAAUCAAUAUGCAUGUUGGACAAAAAGUUGGAUUCAAUAAAGCAGUCCAAUGCUACAUCUAUUGCCAAGUGGAUUAUAAACGAUUUCUGAUAAUAACUGAAAAUCCCCAAAGUGAAAAGUUAUGUCAAAUCAAAUGCUGUGCAGAAAGGUUGUUCUCCAUCUUCUGAGAUACUUUUAGAAAUUGCUUUGAGUUAAAUAUGUCCCUCUGUGUAAGAUAAGUAAUUAUCAAAUACACCAAUAGUAAAAGGCCGUAAAAGGGAGAUUUAGCAUUGAUGCUUGCUAGCAUCACCAGUAAAAGUCAUUUUGAUGCAAACUUUCUAUAGGAGGCCAGGCUGCCAAGAACAUUUUUAAAUUAUAAAGCUAAUAGGAAAAUUUUGUUUUCAUAAUAUUUAUCUAAAUUUACUACUGUGGAAUAUAAAGUAGAAGAAUCUCUUGGAAUUUAAAGCAUAAUUCUAUAGUUAAAUUUGCAAAAACAAAGACUAAAACAACAAAGGAAAGCCUACAAGAAUCUUACUUGAUAACAGUGCAUACAAAGAUGUACUUAGAAAUAAUAAAGGCGAAAAAGUUUAGUCUUCAGACUACUGAUUCUGAGUCGGAAAUUAUCAAACUAUAUCCAAAAUUUUACCAAACACUAUGACUUGUAGGGACUUCUUAGGACAUGAAACUGACAGUUUUUAGUAACCACUUUGUGCUUGAUACUAUGAGGAUUACUUCAAAUGCAUUAUCACUUACAACAGUCACAGAUAUCUUAUGUGCUGGAGUUAUUUUGCAUGGGUGAAUACUGACCUGCAGAGAAUUUAACUUGCCCCAACUCACACAGCUAAAAUGAAGUUACAUAAUUUAUACAGCUUAAGUGAUUUGCUCAAAGUUAUACAGGAUUUGAACUCAUGGCUACCUAGCAUGAAAUUUCUGCAAUCUUUAUAAUCCAGGAUAAGUUCUUUUGAAGGCUCAGUGUCAUCACCUGAAAAAUUGGAAUAGUGACUAUUUCUGGGUGUAUUCUUCAGGAUUCCGAUAGGAAAUCAAUGUACACCCAAACUAGGCAAUUGAUGAUUCUAAUAAAGGGGCUAUUUACCAGAGUGUGAGAAAACAUAUGAGAGAGGGACGAUGCCCUGAGCUAGGAAUAAGAAAGAGCUCUUACUACUCCUUAACCUUCAAGGGCAUGGAAGGAAGGAGGAAAAGUUCUAGAGAGCGCUUCUUGCCAUGAGCCAAGGAUUUCAAAAGGAAAACAGAGCCAGUGAUCCUCUCAAUAGAUGCAAAAAAAACAUUUGACAAAAUGUAGCAUCCUUUCUUGAUGAACCACGUCCCCCCAAGAAAUUAUAUAGAAGGAACAUUCCUCAACAUCAUAAAGGCCAUAAAUGAAAGGUCCACAGCUAAUAUCAUCCUCAAUGGGGAAAUACUGAGAGCUUUCCCCUUAAGGUCAGGAACACAACAGGGAUGUCCACUCUCACCCUGUUGCUCAACACAAUACUAGAAGUCCUAGCCCCAGCAAUCAGACAACAAAAAGAAAUAAAAGGCAUUCAAAUUAGCAAAGAAGAAGUCAAAUCUUCACUCUUCACAGAUUACAUGAUACUCUACAUGGAAAACCCAAAAGACUCCACCAAAAAACUGCUAGUACUGAUACAUGAAUUCAACAAAGUUGCAGGGUUUAAUUUCCAUGUACAUAAAUUCGUUGCAUUUCUAUACGAAGCAGCAGAAAGAGAAAUCACGGGAUUCAUCCCAUUUACAACUGCACCAAACACCAUAAGAUACCUAGGGAUAAACCUAAACAAAGAUAUGAAAGAUGCAUACACUGAAAACUAUGGAAGCUUAUUAAAGAAACUGAAGAAGACACAAAUAAAUGAAAAAAAAAAAACAUUCCAUGCUCAUGGAUUGGGAGAACAAAUAUUGUUAAAAUGUCUAUGCUGCCAAAAGCAGUCUACACAUUCAGUGCAAUCCCUAUUAAAAUAACACCAGUAUUCUUCACAGAGCUAGAACAAAACAUCCUAAAAUUUGUAUGGAACCCAAAUAGCCAAAGUAUUGUUAAAAAAGAAAACCAAAGCUGGAGGCAUCACAAUUCAAGUCUUUAAGCUGUAUUACAAAGCUGUAAUCAUCAAGACAGUAUGGUACUGACACAAAACAUUCAAUGGAACAGAAUAGAGAACCCAGAAAUGGACCCACAAAUGUAUGGCCAACUAUCUUUGACAAAAUGGGUAAGAAUAUUCAUUAGAAAAAAUACUGUCUUUUCAGCAAAUAGUACUGGGAAAACUGGACAGCAACAUGCAGAAGAAUGAACCUGGAUCACUUUCUUACUCAUACACAAAUAUAAAUUCAAAAUGGAUGAAAGACAGGAAACCAUGAUCUCACAGUUUGUGAGUUCUAGUCCCGCAUUGGGCUCUGUACUGACAGUGUGGAGCCUGCUUUGGAUUCUCUCUCUCCCUCUCUGCCCCUCUUUUGGAUUCUCUCAAAAGAGAGAGAGAGAGAGAGAAAGAAAGAAAAAGAAAAGAUCUCUUACAAAUAUAUAAAAUGUAUGAAAGACCUAAACAUAAGACAAGGAAACCAUCAAAAUCCUAGAGAACACAGGCAGCAACCACUUUGACCUCAGCUGCAGCCACUUCUUACUAGACAGGUGCCUGGAGACAAGGGAAAUAAAAGCAAAAAUGAACCAGUGGAACUUCAUCAAGAUAAAAAGCUUCUGCACAGCAAUGAAAACAAUCAUCAAAACUAAAAAGCAACCAACGGAAUGGGAGAAGAUACUCACAAAUGGCAUAUCUGAUAAAGGGUUACUACCCAAAAUCCAUAAAGAACUUAUCAAACUCAACUCACUCAAAGAACAGACAAUACAGUAAAGAAAUGAGCAGAAGACAUUAAUAAGCAAUUUUUCAAAGAAGACAUGCAGGUGGCUAACAGACAUGAAAAAUUGCUCAACAUCACUCAUCAUCAGAGAAAUAGAAAUCAAAACUACAAUGAGAUACCAACUCACACCUAUCAGAAUGGUGAAAAUUAACAACUCAGGAAAUAACAGAUGUUGGCGAGGAUGCAGAGAAAGGGAAAUCCUUUUGCACUGCUGGUGGGAAUCCAUGCUGUGCAGCUACUCUGUAAAACAGUAUGGAGGUUCCUCACAAAAAUAAAAAUAGAACUACCCUACAGCUGAGCAACUGCACUACUAGGUAUUUAUCCAAAGGAUACAAAAAUGGUGAUUCAAAGGGGCACAAGCACCCCAUUAUUUAUAGCAGCGCUGUCAACAAUAGUCAAAUUGUGGAAAGAGUCCAAAUGUCCAUUGACUGAUGGAUGGAUAAAGAUUUGGAAUAUAUAUAUAAAAGAAUAUUACCCAGUGAUCAAAAGGAAUGUAAUAUUGCCAUUUGCAACAGCAUGGAUGCCAAGUGGAAUAAGUCAAGCUAGAAAGACAAAUAUCAUAUGAUUUCACUCAUAUGUGAAAUUUAAGAAACAAAACAGAUGAACAUAGGGGAAGGGAAGUAAAAAUAAGAUGAAAACAGAGAGGGAGGGAAACCAUGUGUGGAUACUGAAUAGUCAGUUAGACUCAUCCACUCGUUCACUAGUUAAUCCAAACUUUCUAGCCUUGCAGCAUGUUGAAGUCCAAUUUAUGCCUCCAUAGAAUUAUAAAAUAUUUCCAGUCAGGAGUCUAAUAAUAUCACACACCAUUUUGUAGAACAGUGACUAUUAAAUCUAAGAAUGCCAAGUUGCUAACAUGUUGCUACAUAGCCUUAUUUACAUUGCCCAGGUAAAAGGAACCUGUCUCUACUCUUUAUCCCUACAUGAAUGGGAGUUAGUUUGAUGCACUUCUCAUAAUUACCACUCAAGAUACAUUGUGUGAUUUAAGAUUGUCUUAGAAGACUGUAAUCCUGAUGAUUUUAUUUCCCAUUCAGAACGUAUGGAGUAUUGUCCUUGGAGACCUAUAUACGUAAUGGUGCACUCAGGAUAUAUUGUGAGUGAACUGUAAAUACAUUUUCUAAGUCUACUAGCCUGGUAGGAAAUCAGAUCCAGAACUGUUCUCUUCAGUAUGUUUACAGCUGGAAGAGUUCUUCCCCUGGAGAAUUUAGAGCUGAUGUGUGUAUAACGACCAUUUCAUAUGCUCAAGUUUCAUACAUUGUAAGGAAAAAUAGGGCUCCUUCAAGGUUUUUCCUCUGAGGGAUUAUUGCACAAAGAAUCCUCUACCUCUCCAAGAUCUGGGGACUAGAAACAUUUAUCUGAAAUGCUUUCCUGCGAAGAAUAAUGACAUGCUAAAUCUUAUCUUAAUAUUUAGAAUCCCUCAGGUUUUUGAGCUGGUAAUAGUCUAGGAUUGUGAAUAUCAUUUAGACUUAUAGCCUGAAUUUUCACUGUUAGUUGUAGCCAGUGAUCCCAAGAAUAAAGAGGUAUUGUCACCAGACCAAAUGGGGAUGGCUCUAGUCACUCAUGACCACUGCUCUAAAAACAAUGAGAACAGUCUUCAGAAAUGGCUGCAUUAGCAUUUACUUCGUCCUGUGUGGACUUCAAACAUUGAGAGUAAAGUGAAAUCAUUUUGGAGUUUCCCUUUAAAAAUUUCUAUAGGUAAUUAUUUUCUUAAUUGAAUAAUUCUUCAGUAACACUACUACCCGUCACUCACCAAAUGCUCUGUUUUCACAAUUCAGCUUUUUGUAGAAAAUGACAUAUACUGUCAUUCCCAUAAAUCAGAGCUCCCAACCUUUUCUGAAGAGGAAAUUAUUUAUUCUCCUAAAUAUUUGACCUCACAGUAAAAGAAAUGAGGCUGUUGUUCAUAAAAUCAAUGAGUGGGCAGAGAAACGCCUGGGGAAGUGUUUGUGUAUAAUAGCUACCACUCUGCAUUUGACCAGGAAAUUGUCAUUGUCCAGUUGGGGGUAUUGUUUUUUUUUGCUGUGAUAAUAGAUCAUAUUUUCUAUUAAUCUUAUAAGAAAGUUGUCUCUUUUCCCCUCUUCCCAAAAUUACAUACCCCACACAUCUAUCUCCUAUUCCUGAGGGGAGCUAAUAUAAUCAUAAAACUAGAAUGUUAACCUGUGUAUCAUGCCUCAAGCCCCACUGUCAACUUCCUGUCAAACGAUUGUUUAUUCCUUUCUUCCAGUAAUGGGAAACUCAUUACAUACUAUCAUACUCCCCUCCAUCUAGACAACUCGGUCUUUCAAAUCUCAUCCCUGUGUUGAUUCAAAAUCUCCUUCCUUCUUUUGUAUUUGUCCUGACCGUUCCAUAAACAGAGAUGGUUGUCUUCCUCAUUGUCAAUGCUAUAUGUUUGGCACUUACUAUGUGAAAGACAUUGUACUAAAUAUCUUAUUUAAUUCUUUCCCAAACAUUGGAAGGCAGGUAUUGUUAUCUCUACUGUGCAGAUGAGAAACUCUUGAGACUUCGAGAGGUAAACUAAUUUGACUGAUGUCGUCUAUCAAAGAUGACAAAACUGGAAUUUGUACACAGGCUGUCCUGAUAUAGACUGAAUUUCACAUAUUCGGUUCCAGAAAAAAUUCUGUUUUGUAACUCCAAAUCCAUAUACUAGACUCUCAUAUGUAUUUAAUUGGAAAAUUCAAAGGACUUUUUCAUCUUCAAUGCAGCUUGACCCCUCCAUGACAUCCAACACUGUUGACUGAUCCCUGACCUUCACCCAUCAUUGAUGUAUCAGUUACUACCAAAAUGAUAUUUAUAAGCAAGAACUCCCUAAUUCCUACUAUAGGACUAUUUUCAAUAUGUUUUUAUUUAGUUACACAUUGGCGGCCCAAACUGAAAACUUCUAGAAAUAAUUCUGUUCAUUCUCCCUAGUCAACACAUGUAGAAACCUGUGUGUCCUUUGAUCUCCUCCUCCUCUCAGUGCUCAGUCCAACACUCAGUUAGUAUUGAAGACUUGGCCAAGUUCACCUUGGCUAAUGACAAGUGCUCCAGCUGACCACUGAAAGAAUAUAUUUCAUGAUCAUAAGCAAUAAUAUUUAGUCCAUUCCUCAUACUCUAAGUUUUCACUCUUAGCCAAUCUCUAAAUAUAGAUACUUUAUAUACUUCUCUAGAUAUAGUCUCUUUACAUGGAUGUAUUUAUGAUGUAAAAGUAUUUUGGGUAGAGUAAAAGGUUUUUAAUAUUAUUUCAAUUGGCUUUUUAUGAUUUCUGCUUGUUGUUCAGCAUUCUUAUACUUACUUUCUCUGCAUACGCAGCUAUUUAAAUAAAUGAGCAUUUAAAUGUUACUUUUAAUUUAACUGUUAAUAUUAAAUAGAGAAAGAGGAAAAAUUAUGCCUUUAAGAGCAGAGAAAGUCUUACUUAUUUUUAUAUCAUACCACCUAGAGGUUGUAUUAAAUAUCAAAUGUGGGCUGAAGAAUAAAAACUAAAAAUAAAAAUGAUUGAAAAAUUAAAUAGAUUAGAACAACUCUGCUGAGAUAAAUUCCUGAAAUAUAUGUUUGGUGUAUGUUGAACAAAAAUUUAACAUGGAAAUUAUCCAAAUAUGAAAUAACUUGAAACGAACCCGUCUUCCAAUUGUUUCCUCACAUACUAGGUAAGUGAGGCAGCCUCUAUUAUUUGUGGUUCCAGGCUUUCAGCUCAUUCAUUUUCAGUUAGUCAUUCAUCUACUAGACAGACAAUUAUUAACCCCAGGUCUUCAACUAGUUACUUGGGUCAGGCCUUCGACCAGGGACAGUGCACCAUCAAGAUGAGAAAGUCCAGCAAUGCUUCCUGCCUUUCUUGAGCUUAUGAGCAGGGAAAGCACACAAAUAUAAAAUUUCACAGUGAAAAUUGUUACAAAGGGGAGUUUUAUUGCCCUCAAAGAGCAUAUAAUAGUGAGAUUUAAACCAGUAAAGGCAGGGUUCCCAAGGGAAGUGAAGAAUGAGACAUGAUCUAAAGAAGGAGUAGGAGGAAGCCCAGGAGAGCCCGGGGAAUUGUAGGUCACAAAGAGUGGAGUGGCACAGGGUCAAAUGACAUGAAGAGGACAGAGAGGUGAGGACUGAAACCUUCAGUAGGUUUAGUAGCUGCUGACCUUAGCAAGAGAGAGUCUGGUAGGGUUUUGAAACAGAAGCUAGAUCAGAUAGGCUAAGGAGUGAGUGGGGGACAGGAACUGGAGACAGGGUGUGUAUAUGGUUCUUUCAAAAAGUUGGACUGAAAAGGGAAGAAAGAUAACAGAAUGAGCCAGAGAAACUUGUGGGGUUAGGAGUGGUUGUUUUGUUCCUCAGUCUUGUUAAUGAAAGAGGCCUGAACAUACAUAAAUCUAGGUAUAGACUGAGACAGUGUCUGAAUAGAUUCAGAGACAAGUCUUUGAGAGUGUCAGACUUCUGAGGAGCUGGACGGAGAAUGACAGGAGAGAGCAACAGAAGAUAAGAUCAUGUGUUUCAUAUCAAGGGUACGGGAAGUUUCUGAUAGUUUCUAUUUCCUACAUAAAGCAUGAGUGGAGUCAUGCAGUCACCAACUAAAAUAGGAUAUCCGGGGUUGGAGGUGAGGGUUAGGCAAUGGAGGAGAUUUGAAAUGAAGGGGUGAUAGAUGAGAGUGAGUUAAUGAAAGGUAGGAAGAUUGCCACAAUUGAAGGCUUAUCUGAAGUUGAUAAUCCUGAAUUUCUCAUGGCACACAUCUUUAUGUCUCAAAAUAAAAUGUUACUUUUACUCUCCCACCACUAAAAAUAUAUGAGUUACAUUGUACAGUACCUGUACAAGGCUAUCUCUUCAACCUCAAGUUUUUUGAGUUGCAAUCUGAGAUUCUCCUUUUCUCACUUUAGACUACAUUUUUUUCUUAGGAAUUUUAUUUAGGUUUAUAAUUUGCAAUACCGUCUACAACAGAAGUGUCCAUGGACUUGGUGUAACCAGCCAACUAAUUUGUUUUGGCUCAAAAAGUGAUUUUUAAAAAUCUUAAGCUAGUUAGAGCUUAUAAUAAAAUCCAAGUUUCUGUUUUCUCUUAAAAGAUUAAACAAACUGGCUGCACUGACCCCACAGUCCCACAUCAACGAUCUUUUGGAGCAGAGUAACAACUGCCCCCCUCAGAUUGGACAUGCUCUCUCCAGCUCAUGACAGUCCCCCCCAUUCAUUAUUAUCCACUUCACUUACUUCCCUUGCCUAUGCAGCAACCAUGACCUGUAGACGUUUGAGUUUACGAUUCUCAAUUUAUAAAUUCAUAACUCCCAAAGAUUUAAUUUCACCUCAGACAGCUCUUUUGUAUUUCAGAUAUCAACUACCAAUAGUUGACUGGAUGGUCUUUGGGUGACUGAAACUCAGUAUCUGCAGAGGUAAGUGAUCUCCCAAAGUUGCCUCCUUUAACUUAUAUCCUGGCUUUUGUAUGACUACUCUGUUUAACCGAAUAAAAACCUGGGAGUCUACUUUCCAAGUACUUCUCUAUUCUAUUUCCUUCCUCAUUUUUAUUGCUAUGACUUAAUUUCAGACAAUCAUAUUUCACCUGAGCUAUUAAAAUAACUUAACCAAUAACCUCUACUUUCUCUUCUCUUCCCAUACUUCCUCUAUACGGCCACAGGAUUGAUUUUUCCAAGCACGGUAUCUUUUCUGUCACAUUUAUUUGAAUUGUAGCAAACUUCUCAUAAUUUUUUCAAUGUGUUGGCAUACUUCACAUGUGCAUCUUGCCAGUUGCUGUUCCCUCAACCUGAAAUGCCCUCUGCUUCUGUCUUCUUGGUGAAUCCCUAUUCAUCCUCCAAGACACAGCUCAAAUAUCGCCUCCUCUGGGAACCCUCGCUGCUACAAAGGUCAUUUAGGCACAGCCUAAUGGCACAGCCUUUAAUACAGUGCUCAGGAGGGAUCUGCUUACAUUCAGACCUACCCCAAGUAGACCAUGAGCUUGAGGGUAGAUACUGCAGCUCUAUAAUCCAGUUAUCCUCAGUGCUUAAUUCCUGGUCAUCUACUAGAUAUUUAAUAAAUUCUUAAAUUCAGAAAAACAGUAACAUUGUAAUAGGGAAAAUCUGCCUAACUUUAAAAGGAAGAUUACCAAUCUAUCACAAACUCUUUAACCUAAUUCACUCUACAAAAGUUAAUCUUAAGACUCCAACCAAGAGGACGUAACAUUCUCUAAAAAUAUUUUUUUUUGUAGGGGAGUGUUCCUAAUAUAUGAGAAAUGUGGGAUCCCUCCAUCCUACUAUGUAUUAAAAUAAAUUUAAAAAUGAAAUGUAAAAAAAUAAACUCAUAAAAGAAAGAAGAAUAUAUUUAGAAGAGUAGUUAUAUAAUAUUGGUGAGGGAUUAGCCAUUCUGACCAUCACACUCAAAGCAGAAAACAGCAAGUUAAAAAAUGGGUAGCUUUGAAAAUGGAUAAUAAAUGGGUAGUAUAACUAUGAAACUUCUAUAAUUAAAAAAAUUAAAUUAAGUAACAGUCAGGAGAAAAUAUUGAAGACUUUUAUGACAGAAGGUUUAUUUAUAUUCUUAAUAUAUAAUCAAUUGAAAAAUAAAAAGUGAGGUCUCUCUCAAUUAAAAUGCAUUAGCUUAAGUCAGAAGAUUUUUUUAUAUGCUACAUGUUUCUCUACUAUCUUAUCAACUAGUGUUUUGCCAGAUAUCUGAUUCUCUAGAUAGCUAAGGUAUUUAGCUACUGGUAUAUCUUUGGUUUUGGUUUUUACUUCUAUGUUUUGAGCAGUUUUGUCUGAGACAAAGUUACUGUUUGAUACCUUUUGGGAAAAAAGUAUAAAAGUGAAGAUGUUUAGUCAUUUCCCUCUCUAGAUACCAUGCACACUGUUAAAGGGAAAUGAAAAGAAGGAAAAUGACACUUUUUUCCUUGCUUAAGUUCCCACCUGCCUAUUAUUCAAUUCACAGAACUUUGGGGAAGAUUAAUGAUACAGUUAAAAGUACCAUUCUGAACAUACUUUUUCCUAAAGAAAUCUUUUCAGAGCUCUCUUCUCUUUGGAGAAAAGAUUGCAUAUAAGGGAGAAGUUUAUUUUAAAAAUUUUAUUUUACAAUAAAGUCGAAAAGAAUAAGAGUGAAAAUGAUAAAUGUUGUAAUAAACACGUAAGUAAGAGAAGGAUGGAAUCUUAAGAGUCAACUAGAAAUACAAAGGAGCUGUGUCCCCUCUGUUGCAUAAUUUGUCAGACUAACUUCAGGGUAUUGCUCUCAGCUCAAGGUUUGGAUUAAAUUUGUUUUUCUUCACAGAGUCUACAUUUCUCCUCACAGAGGUUUGCAUCUAUGGAGACAGUUUGGAAACCUCAAGCAUUAGGAUACUUAUGCUGCUUUUCUCAACACAUUCUGCGAAAGGACACAGUCCAGACCAAGGUCAUGCAAGUGAGAAAAAUAAGAACCAGAAACUAAAAGAAACUAUAAAGCCUGAUUACGGAUUUUUAAAUUAAAUGUAUUGUUCAGAUUAAUCUGUUCAGAAUCCUUUUUAACAUUUAGAAUUCAAUCAUGUAUAAAUUACCAUGGAUAUUAUGGUUCCUGAUUAUAAUGUGAUAUAUAUUCAAUACUAGAUUCAGAAUAACAGGCAAAGCCUUACAGAAAAGGAAUGUAAAUGAGUGUGUGGAUGGUACCCACUGUAGUCUUACACCUAUCUUCAUAGCCUGGAAGGAUGAGAUUACAUUUCUCUCUGGGAUAUUCUAACCCAAUAUCUCUCAUAAAUAGUUGUAUUUUUAUUCUUCGGACUUAAAUUUCGGCAUGUUGAGUUUAAAUAUGGCUCAGUCGGCUGAGUGUCCAACUUCGACCUUGGUCAUGAUCUCGUGGUCUGUGAGUUUAAGUCCCGUGUCAGUCUCUGUGCUGAUAGCUCAGAGCCUGGAGCCUGCCUCAGAUUCUGUCUCUCUCUCUGGCUACCCCUCCCCUACUCAUGCCCUGGCUUUCUCUGUCUCUCAAAAAUGAAUAAACAUUAAAACAAUUUUAAGUUACAGUGAGUAUGCUAAGUGAAAUUAGACAAAGACAAAUAUCAUAUGACCUCACUCAUAUGAGGACUUUAAGAGACAAAACAGAUGAACAUAAGGGAAGGGUAAAAAAUAAUAUAAA